GGUCCCUGGUGGAUAGUUGUUUUCAUUGUUUAUUCGUUGGUCCCUGGUGGAUAGUUGUUUCAUUGUUUUCGUUGGUCCCUGGUUGAUAGUUGUGUUCAUUGUUUAUUUUCAUUAUUUAUCCGUUGGUCCCUGGUGGAUAGUUGUUCUCAUUGGUUAUCCGUUGGUCCCUGGUGGAUAGUUGUUUUCAUUGUUUAUCCGUUGGUCCCUGGUGGAUAGUUGUUCUCAUUGGUUAUCCGUUGGUCCCUGGUGGAUAGUUGUUUUCAUUGUUUAUUCGUUGGUCCCUGGUGGAUAGUUGUCUCAUUGUUUAUUCAUUGUUCCCUGGUGGAUAGUUGUUUCAUUGUUUAUUCGUUGUUCCCUGGUGGAUAGUUGUAUCAUUGUUUAUUCGUUGGUCCCUGGUUGAUAGUUGUGUUCAUUGUUUAUUCGUUGGUCCCUAGUGGAUAGUUGUCUCAUUGUUUAUUCGUUGGUCCCU
rnacentral:lncRNA from 1 species